GGGUUGUGAGGUUAAGCGACUAAGCGUACACGGUGGAUGCCCUGGCAGUCAGAGGCGAUGAAGGACGUGCUAAUCUGCGAUAAGCGUCGGUAAGGUGAUAUGAACCGUUAUAACCGGCGAUUUCCGAAUGGGGAAACCCAGUGUGAUUCGUCACACUAUCAUUAACUGAAUCCAUAGGUUAAUGAGGCGAACCGGGGGAACUGAAACAUCUAAGUACCCCGAGGAAAAGAAAUCAACCGAGAUUCCCCCAGUAGCGGCGAGCGAACGGGGAGCAGCCCAGAGCCUGAAUCAGUGUGUGUGUUAGUGGAAGCGUCUGGAAAGGCGUGCGAUACAGGGUGACAGCCCCGUACACAAAAAUGCACAUGCUGUGAGCUCGAUGAGUAGGGCGGGACACGUGGUAUCCUGUCUGAAUAUGGGGGGACCAUCCUCCAAGGCUAAAUACUCCUGACUGACCGAUAGUGAACCAGUACCGUGAGGGAAAGGCGAAAAGAACCCCGGCGAGGGGAGUGAAAAAGAACCUGAAACCGUGUACGUACAAGCAGUGGGAGCACAGAGCAAUCUGUGUGACUGCGUACCUUUUGUAUAAUGGGUCAGCGACUUAUAUUCUGUAGCAAGGUUAACCGAAUAGGGGAGCCGAAGGGAAACCGAGUCUUAACUGGGCGUUAAGUUGCAGGGUAUAGACCCGAAACCCGGUGAUCUAGCCAUGGGCAGGUUGAAGGUUGGGUAACACUAACUGGAGGACCGAACCGACUAAUGUUGAAAAAUUAGCGGAUGACUUGUGGCUGGGGGUGAAAGGCCAAUCAAACCGGGAGAUAGCUGGUUCUCCCCGAAAGCUAUUUAGGUAGCGCCUCGUGAAUUCAUCUCCGGGGGUAGAGCACUGUUUCGGCAAGGGGGUCAUCCCGACUUACCAACCCGAUGCAAACUGCGAAUACCGGAGAAUGUUAUCACGGGAGACACACGGCGGGUGCUAACGUCCGUCGUGAAGAGGGAAACAACCCAGACCGCCAGCUAAGGUCCCAAAGUCAUGGUUAAGUGGGAAACGAUGUGGGAAGGCCCAGACAGCCAGGAUGUUGGCUUAGAAGCAGCCAUCAUUUAAAGAAAGCGUAAUAGCUCACUGGUCGAGUCGGCCUGCGCGGAAGAUGUAACGGGGCUAAACCAUGCACCGAAGCUGCGGCAGCGACGCUUAUGCGUUGUUGGGUAGGGGAGCGUUCUGUAAGCCUGCGAAGGUGUGCUGUGAGGCAUGCUGGAGGUAUCAGAAGUGCGAAUGCUGACAUAAGUAACGAUAAAGCGGGUGAAAAGCCCGCUCGCCGGAAGACCAAGGGUUCCUGUCCAACGUUAAUCGGGGCAGGGUGAGUCGACCCCUAAGGCGAGGCCGAAAGGCGUAGUCGAUGGGAAACAGGUUAAUAUUCCUGUACUUGGUGUUACUGCGAAGGGGGGACGGAGAAGGCUAUGUUGGCCGGGCGACGGUUGUCCCGGUUUAAGCGUGUAGGCUGGUUUUCCAGGCAAAUCCGGAAAAUCAAGGCUGAGGCGUGAUGACGAGGCACUACGGUGCUGAAGCAACAAAUGCCCUGCUUCCAGGAAAAGCCUCUAAGCAUCAGGUAACAUCAAAUCGUACCCCAAACCGACACAGGUGGUCAGGUAGAGAAUACCAAGGCGCUUGAGAGAACUCGGGUGAAGGAACUAGGCAAAAUGGUGCCGUAACUUCGGGAGAAGGCACGCUGAUAUGUAGGUGAAGUCCCUCGCGGAUGGAGCUGAAAUCAGUCGAAGAUACCAGCUGGCUGCAACUGUUUAUUAAAAACACAGCACUGUGCAAACACGAAAGUGGACGUAUACGGUGUGACGCCUGCCCGGUGCCGGAAGGUUAAUUGAUGGGGUUAGCGCAAGCGAAGCUCUUGAUCGAAGCCCCGGUAAACGGCGGCCGUAACUAUAACGGUCCUAAGGUAGCGAAAUUCCUUGUCGGGUAAGUUCCGACCUGCACGAAUGGCGUAAUGAUGGCCAGGCUGUCUCCACCCGAGACUCAGUGAAAUUGAACUCGCUGUGAAGAUGCAGUGUACCCGCGGCAAGACGGAAAGACCCCGUGAACCUUUACUAUAGCUUGACACUGAACAUUGAGCCUUGAUGUGUAGGAUAGGUGGGAGGCUUUGAAGUGUGGACGCCAGUCUGCAUGGAGCCGACCUUGAAAUACCACCCUUUAAUGUUUGAUGUUCUAACGUUGACCCGUAAUCCGGGUUGCGGACAGUGUCUGGUGGGUAGUUUGACUGGGGCGGUCUCCUCCUAAAGAGUAACGGAGGAGCACGAAGGUUGGCUAAUCCUGGUCGGACAUCAGGAGGUUAGUGCAAUGGCAUAAGCCAGCUUGACUGCGAGCGUGACGGCGCGAGCAGGUGCGAAAGCAGGUCAUAGUGAUCCGGUGGUUCUGAAUGGAAGGGCCAUCGCUCAACGGAUAAAAGGUACUCCGGGGAUAACAGGCUGAUACCGCCCAAGAGUUCAUAUCGACGGCGGUGUUUGGCACCUCGAUGUCGGCUCAUCACAUCCUGGGGCUGAAGUAGGUCCCAAGGGUAUGGCUGUUCGCCAUUUAAAGUGGUACGCGAGCUGGGUUUAGAACGUCGUGAGACAGUUCGGUCCCUAUCUGCCGUGGGCGCUGGAGAACUGAGGGGGGCUGCUCCUAGUACGAGAGGACCGGAGUGGACGCAUCACUGGUGUUCGGGUUGUCAUGCCAAUGGCACUGCCCGGUAGCUAAAUGCGGAAGAGAUAAGUGCUGAAAGCAUCUAAGCACGAAACUUGCCCCGAGAUGAGUUCUCCCUGACUCCUUGAGAGUCCUGAAGGAACGUUGAAGACGACGACGUUGAUAGGCCGGGUGUGUAAGCGCAGCGAUGCGUUGAGCUAACCGGUACUAAUGAACCGUGAGGCUUAACCUUACAACGCCGAAG
rnacentral:rRNA from 1 species